UACGUAGGGGGCAAGCGUUAUCCGGAUUUACUGGGUGUAAAGGGAGCGUAGACGGCAGCGCAAGUCUGGAGUGAAAUGCCGGGGCCCAACCCCGGAACUGCUUUGGAAACUGUGCAGCUCGAGUGCAGGAGAGGUAAGCGGAAUUCCUAGUGUAGCGGUGAAAUGCGUAGAUAUUAGGAGGAACACCAGUGGCGAAGGCGGCUUACUGGACUGUAACUGACGUUGAGGCUCGAAAGCGUGGGGUGCAAACAGG
rnacentral:rRNA from 1 species